rnacentral:lncRNA from 10 species
AGAAGAAGCGCAUUGCGCGGUUCGCCGGGCUGUCUGCAACUUUGGGAGCUGCGCCGCGUGGGUGCGGCCAGCCGACCGGCGCGUGCGCAGUGAGUUCUCAGCGCCUCCCGCCGCGCAGGCUCGGCGUUGGCCUCCGCGGCCCGUGCGAGUGCGCCCUUCUCGGGUCCCCUAGGUCGCGGGGCAGCCGGGGCGGAAGGGGCUUGUUCAUUAUUUUGAGAGUUUGUUGUGAACGUCAUAACCUUUCGUCCUUAAAUAUUGCCGAUACUUGACCUACGCAAGAGACAAUGUCAUGUGAUUCAGCCUAAUAUCUCAGAGGAUGCAGCAUUCAAGGUUCUAUCUUGGAAGCAGAGACUGUGCCCUCACCAGAUGCUGAACCUGCUGAGCACCCUGAUCUUCCACUUCACCUUCAUCAGAACUACUGGGGCUGUGGCUGAGAUGUCACAUGGCAGAUAGGAUCACAAAUUUCUGUUGUAUCUGGAUGGAGAUCAGCAGGAGGAUCUAUGGGUGAGAAGAAGCACAGUUACAGAUGGAUUCUAGAGCCUGCUUGCUGACACAGGCUUGCAACUGCGGACUUUAUAAGCUUAGUUUUUAAUCUGCUAUCAGCUAGCAUAAUACCAUAAAUGCAUAAGAAACUAAGUAUUCAGUCUUACGAGAAAUGCUAUCUUGACCUGACCCUUUCUCCAAAUAAAUUGACAAAAUAUCUCAUCGUCUAGGAUGCCAGACAGAAAUACCAGUUGCAAUGUUUUGUUGCAUAAAGUUUAUCCUAAUUUAAAUUAGUGGCAUAUAAAGUCAUCAUCUUGCUUGAACAAACAUCUUAUUAAAUUGAGCAUGUCUUUUAUCCCAUGAAAUGAAAUUAAUUUUGAGAUAGUUAUUUUUCAGUUGGAAAUUUAUUGAGUUGAUAGAAAACAAGUUAUAUAGUCUUCCAAAGAAUAUGUUACAUCCAUUUGCAUUUUGUUUUUCUUCAGCAAUGUUUGGUUUUUAGAAAAUCUUACAAGUUAAAUAUACUAAUGUAGAAAUUGA